UCAAGCUGCACAAAGAAAAUAAAGAGACAAAGCUAGCUAGGGUUUUUAUUUCUCACCGCACACCAUAACCCUUGAACAAGGGCAAAUCUGCGAUUUUCAAUUCCCACCACCGCACACACCAUAACUCUUCCCAGUCCCACCACCGCACACCUCUUCACAACAUUAUCUCAAUAAUAUUUGAUUUCUCCAAAGGCGAUGGCAGAUAUAACAACGAUUAGGCGAAUCGAAAGCUGCGAUUUAAGGAAACAACUGCCAAAGUAUUUGGAGCUUCGGAUGCUAUUAACCCACGGCUUCGAUUUCUAGUGUUGGUAUGCAGGAAUGAAGGCCUAAGCUAUAGUUGAAGAGGGAAAAUAUUCAACCUCGCCUGGUUCUAUGAAUGUUCUCUUAACUCAACCUCUAUCACAGAUAAAUAUUCCUCAAGGUCUUAGGAGUACAUACAAUGGUGAAUUGUGCAAUAUGAUGUGUUGCAAACAUUAGCUUGUACUUGGAUCAAACAAUCCUCGUUUUAGAAACAUUAUGUAUUUUAGUUUUGAAGAAUGUAUAUGGAGGUACAUUAGUUACUCACAAUAUUCUUUUGCAAUAGAAAUCAUUAUAAAUAGUUUUGGUUGUGUAUAUAUAUAUUUUAAUUAUAAAUGAUUGUUCUUGUAUUUCUUUUCAGAUUGUUCUUACAAUAUCAUAUUAUGUAAUA